UAUGGAUGGGAGUGAGGGUGUGUGUGGGGGAGGUCCUCCCAUACACACACCCUCACUCUCACCCUCUCUCACACACCCAACCUCCCACCUUUAAUGCGUGUGGAUGGGACUAAGGUUUUCUCAUUUCUUUCAGAUUGUGCGCCUCCGAGGUGAACGUCUGACUGAAGUGAACAUGUGGCUGGUCGAGAACUCCUCCAAACAGGUAAAGUACUUAUGACAAUAUAUAAUGUCUAUAUGCAAGUAUUUAUGAAUGUUAUGUUUUAAAGUUUUUUGUAUUCCAGGUUUGUUUGUGUGGCUGACUGGACCUACUACAAGGUGCUUCUUGCAGGUAAUAAAGAUACAUCAGUGAUGGUGAGGCCGUCACAUUACCAGCGGUUGUGGAUUUCACAAUUCAACCCUUAUAUUGCAGACUCCACAUAAGGUAAAACACUUCCAUUCAGCAAUUGGUGUGCAGUGUCCAGAUUGUCAACAUUUAGUUCAGUAUGAUGUUACUUCUGGCCAGCUUAACCUGAGGAGAAAGUCAGUACAGUACACGAUUAGAUUUUGAAAAGGAAACUGCAAAGUACGCAAGCUAUUGAUUUUUAAUAAUUUAAACAAGUGAAAUUUUUUCUAGCUUAACUUUCUGAAUUCAU